GUGGGUGUGACUGGUGACAGAGUGAGGGAGUGGGUGACUAGUGACAGAGGGAGGGAGAUAGGGGUGACUAGUGACAGAGUGAGGGAAUGGGUGACUAGUGGCAGAGUGAGGGAGGGAAGAGAUGACUAGUGGCAAAGUGAGGGAGGGAAGGGGUGACUAGUGACAGAGUGAGGGGGGGUGACUGUCACUAGUCACCCCAUCCCUCUCUCUGUCACUAGUCACUCCCUCCCUAACUCUGUCACUGUGUCACCCGCUCCCUCUCUCUGUCACUAGUCACCCCAUCCCUCUCUCUGUCACUAGUCACCCCAUCCCUCUCUCUGUCACUAGUCACCCCAUCCCUCUCUCUGUCACUGUGAAGG
rnacentral:sRNA from 1 species